rnacentral:SRP_RNA from 12 species
GACUUGGCGCCUUCCUCAAAGCUACGCGGAACCACCGCUUCUGCGGGGCGGCGCCCGUGGCAUGAAAAGGGACCUUCCACAGAAAGCUGCCUUGCCUGAGUUUCUCGGGGAACUGGUCCAAGCAUGAAGCGAGCAACCCGACGUGGUCCUCCUCUUUUUUGGUGGAGAA